UGGGGAAUAUUGGACAAUGGGCGAAAGCCUGAUCCAGCCAUGCCGCGUGUGUGAAGAAGGUCUUCGGAUUGUAAAGCACUUUAAGUUGGGAGGAAGGGUUGUAGAUUAAUACUCUGCAAUUUUGACGUUACCGACAGAAUAAGCACCGGCUAACUCUGUGCCAGCAGCCGCGGUAAUACAGAGGGUGCAAGCGUUAAUGGGAAUUACUGGGCGUAAAGCGCGCGUAGGUGGUUUGUUAAGUUGGAUGUGAAAGCCCCGGGCUCAACCUGGGAACUGCAUCCAAAACUGGCAAGCUAGAGUACGGUAGAGGGUGGUGGAAUUUCCUGUGUAGCGGUGAAAUGCGUAGAUAUAGGAAGGAACACCAGUGGCGAAGGCGACCACCUGGACUGAUACUGACACUGAGGUGCGAAAGCGUGGGGAGCAAACA
rnacentral:rRNA from 1 species